rnacentral:rRNA from 1 species
ACGAACGCUGGCGGCGUGCUUAACACAUGCCAGUCGAACGGUGAAGCGCCUUCCUUUUUGGUGGGUGUGGAUGAGUGGCGAACGGGUGAGUAACACGUGAGUAACCUGCCCCCUUCUUCUGGAUAACCGCAUGAAAGUGUGGCUAAUACGGGAUAUUCUGGGUCUGUCGCAUGAUGGGUCUGGGAAAGAUAUUGUUUCGGUGGGGGAUGGGCUCGCGGCCUAUCAGCUUGUUGGUGGGGUGAUGGCCUACCAAGGCGGUGACGGGUAGCCGGCCUGAGAGGGUGGACGGUCACACUGGGACUGAGACACGGCCCAGACUCCUACGGGAGGCAGCAGUGGGGAAUAUUGCACAAUGGGCGCAAGCCUGAUGCAGCGACGCCGCGGGAGGGAUGGAGGCCUUCGGGUUGUGAACCUCUUUCGCCAGUGAAGCAGGCCUGCCUCGUUUGUGGGUGGGUUGACGGUAGCUGGAUAAGAAGCGCCGGCUAACUACGUG